UACGAAGGGUGCAAGCGUUAUUCGGAGUUACUGGGCGUAAAGAGUAUGUAGGCGGUUUGUUAAGUCAGUUGUUAAAUACCACAGCUCAACUGUGGAAAGGCAGCUGAAACUGACUUGCUAGAGUGCAGAAGAGAGGAGUGGAAUUCCCGGAGUAGCGGUAAAAUGCGUAGAUCUCGGGAGGAACACCGGUUGCGAAGGCGGCUUCUUGGUCUGUGUCUGACGCUAAAGUACGAAAGCGUGGGGAGCAAACAGG
rnacentral:rRNA from 1 species